rnacentral:rRNA from 1 species
CGGGAGGCAGCAGUGGGGAAUAUUGCACAAUGGGCGCAAGCCUGAUGCAGCAACGCCGCGUGCGGGAUGACGGCCUUCGGGUUGUAAACCGCUUUCAGCAGGGACGAAGCGCAAGUGACGGUACCUGCAGAAGAAGCACCGGCUAACUACGUGCCAGCAGCCGCGGUAA